AUGAUCCAAUGUUAACUCUUCCAACAAUCUUUGAAGUAGAUUUAAUUCCCAUUUUGCAGAUGAAGAGUCUGAGACUUAGCAUCUAUCAAAGAACAAAAGCCACACAGUAAGCUGGGAUUCAAAUCCAGAACUUUCUGAUGCAAGAUCCCACAGACCUAAUGACAUUGCUGUUGCCGUCUGCCUGACUGUCCGGCCCUUUCAGAAGAAGCAUGCUAAUCAUUGGGUGGAGAUUCUGGCUGGAUCUGAAAGGUGUCACAAGGAGGUGCUCUACUGUGACUGGUCAAUGCUGGGUAUGAUCCCACCCUUCUGGCUGGAGUGGCAAGAUCCUUUUUCAUCAAGAUCACUGAAGGAGGAACAGUGGGGCAGGACACCACAGGAAGAUGAGAUGAAGACACAGACACUCACAAAAGGAAAAUCAUGUGAAGACACGAGAGAAGACAGCUAUUGAUGAGCCACGCAGAGAGGAUCUCCGAAGAAAUCAAUCCUGCUGACACCCUGAUCUUGGAUUUCUAGGCUCCUGGAUUAUGAGAAAAUAAAUUUCUGUUUCUUAAGCCCGAAGACA
rnacentral:lncRNA from 13 species